GUGGGGAAAUGGGGGCUUAGCUGGGGGUGGGGGUACUGUAGGAGCCCAGCAGGGGGGUUGGGGCCUGUGGGUGCUCUAGGCAGCCAGCUGGGCCAGUAGGGACCUAUGGGCACUAUAGGGGCUCAGCUAGGGGUGUGAAGGCCUGUGGGGAUGUCUGGGUGCUAAGGGGCCCAGGCAGGCUUCUGGGUGCUAUAGGGGCUUGCUGAGGGUGUGGGGGCCUGUGGGUAUCUAUAGGAGCCCAUGUGGGCUAUGCAGAGAUGCAGCUGAGGCCAGGAGAGGCCAGGUGAUUUCCGAACGACUUCAGCACACGUCUUCUAAAUCCUGUUUUACUUCCCUGACCGCUGGACCAACCCACUCUGCGGGAGAACAGGAAUUCCCAGGCUCUCCUUCCUUGCUGUGGUGGGACCAAGCUUUCUACAGGGCAGUUCUGGCAGGGAUCGCUCACUCAAUCACCGCUGAAGCGCAGCCCUUUGAGGAGUGCGAUGUGCGUGCCGUAAGCUGGAGCAAGCGUUCAGUGGAGGAACAGAGAGGAAGCAAUUCAAUCAAUUCUGGUGACCCAGAGGCACUCUGGCUACAGUUGCAGGAACUCAAGUGA
ensembl:lncRNA